rnacentral:rRNA from 1 species
GACGAACGCUGGCGGCGUGCUUAACACAUGCAAGUCGAACGGAAAGGCCCUGCUUUUGUGGGGUGCUCGAGUGGCGAACGGGUGAGUAACACGUGAGUAACCUGCCCUUGACUUUGGGAUAACUUCAGGAAACUGGGGCUAAUACCGGAUAGGAGCUCCUGCUGCAUGGUGGGGGUUGGAUAGUUUCGGCGGUUGGGGAUGGACUCGCGGCUUAUCAGCUUGUUGGUGGGGUAGUGGCUUACCAAGGCUUUGACGGGUAGCCGGCCUGAGAGGGUGACCGGCCACAUUGGGACUGAGAUACGGCCCAGACUCCUACGGGAGGCAGCAGUGGGGAAUAUUGCACAAUGGGCGGAAGCCUGAUGCAGCAACGCCGCGUGCGGGAUGACGGGCUUCGGGUUGUAAACCGCUUUCGCCUGUGACGAAGCGUGAGUGACGGUAAUGGGUAAAGAAGCACCGGCUAACUACGUG